UACGGAGGGUGCGAGCGUUAAUCGGAAUUACUGGGCGUAAAGCGCGCGUAGGCGGCUAAGUAAGCCGGUUGUGAAAGCUCCGGGCUCAACCUGGGACUAGCAUCCGGAACUGUUUAGCUAGAGUGCAGAAGAGGAAGGUAGAAUUCCCGGUGUAGCGGUGAAAUGCGUAGAGAUCGGGAGGAAUACCAGCGGCGAAGGCGGCCUGCUGGGCUAACACUGACGCUGAGGUGCGAAAGCGUGGGUAGCAAACAGG
rnacentral:misc_RNA from 1 species